rnacentral:lncRNA from 1 species
GACAGUGGCUUGGUGGCGCGCAGUUCCCCUUGACUGUGCGCGCCCCCGUCUGGGCUCCUUUGCAGAGGAAUCGGUAGCUGCAGCUCCCGGAGCACAGCGGACAGAGCUGCGGGCUGCGUGCGCCCCUGCUGCCACCGGGCCUGCCGCGGUGGCUCCCGCGCCCCGCGGCGACUUCCGCUCCCGUGCUUCUCUUUGUUCAAGUCCCCGAGCGGCGGCCGGGUCGGAGCCCGCGCCUUGGGCGACUGAGGCGGCCGCAGUCCGCGCCCCGGCGCCCUGGCGAUGCCGGACCAGAUCUCCGUGUCGGAAUUCGUGGCCGAGACCCUUGAGGACUACAAGGCACCCACUGCCUCUAGCUUCACCACCGGCACGGCCCAGUGCCGGAACACCGCGGCGGCCAUCGAGGAGGUGAGCGGUAGCUUAGCCGGCGCCGGGCGGGAGGCUAGGGUCGCGGGGAUCGCGCUGCGCCCUGGGCACCCGCUAGGCUUCCGCGCCUGGUGGCCGAUACCCAGUGCUCUCCAGCUGCGCCCACACCCGGGAAAAGUUUCUGGUACCCCAAAGCCGGACGCAGCCCGACCAGCAGUGCCCGACACAGAAACCCUUUGUUCCCUGCUCUAGGGAGAGGCUGCUUGGCCACCUUGGGCCUUUUUUGGGAACGCUCCUGUCUGUUCCCAUUUCCCUCGCAGGGUUUCAGGUUCUUUGCUCCCAUCCUCAGAGAGGUCAACUUCGGCUGUAGAGUCUGUGGUGGCUUCGAGCCGGGGACCCCUGCGAGCUCUGCUUCCCGGAGUGAUGGCUCUCCCUGCGUGGACCUCUCCAACUUGUUCCGGACGUAGCCCGGCGGGGGCAGCUGUGGCUUCUGAGCCACCAUGUAGAGCAGAUCCAGGGACCCCAAGCUGCUUAGGCACGGGUGCCCAUCCCAUCUUGGGAGGCCUGGCAGUUCCCACUACUUGCAACAGAGCAGAGCUGUAGAGGGAUGUGGAGAAUGGUCUCUUUGAGGUCCAAAAGGUCUUUGGUGGCCGCUUCUGGGCUACCUGUGUGGUGCCUGUUGACAGUGUGAUCAGCUCCUGUGCCCUUAACCUGGAAAGGGCCUGCAUAGUCAUUGUAUUGAGUGGCUAAGCAGAAAGCUCUCCAGAUCCUGGGGAAGAGGGACUGCGAGAAGGAAGCAGUUUGGGUUGAAAAUUGAAGCAGGCUUGGAAGAGGCUGUGUGAGUCCAGGGACCACGGCUGUCCACAGCUUGGGAAAGCCUCACUUACAUCAUUUUCUUUACCUCCCCAACAGAAUUUAGAGUUUUGUGUUUUCGGCUCUGUAGGCAUUGUGCGUCCAGCUGGACUCACAAAAGGUAGCUGGAGAACGAGACACACAUGUGUAGUAGUAGUGAACCGAUGACUACAUUUCCUUUGCUCAGAAUUUUAACAUCAAGGUACAUAUUUUAAAAUACUUGUGUCAGAGGCUGGUGUUCAGAGAGCUUUUAAAUUAAGCUAUGUCAUUACAUCCUUUCCCCUUGCUUGAACAAAGCAUUUGCUAUUAGGCUUUGCCUGGGCAGGGGGUGGGGUGGGGUGGGGGACUAGACUAUUGUUCUUUCGUGUAAAAUAUUUGUCUUUGUAGACCUACACAGUCAGGACUAGACUCAAUGAAAAAUACUAGGUUCAGCAUCCUGCUCUUGGAAGUGAGCUAGGGUAUCCGUUCUUCUCCUUCAUCCUCGUCUCCUUUCUUUCCUCUCACCCCUCUUCCCAAAGAUCUGCUUGUAAAUCUUUUGUAGUGAGUUCAGUGAGAGCAGAUUGCUUUAGUCCACUUUUCUCAGCCUGGCCUUUAGGUGCCACUGAUGCCUUUAAUGAGGCAGGUGGGGGAUGAGGGGGAUGAGAGCCCCUCCCCCAUGAGGGCCCUUGAAAAGCACUAGGAAGAUAGUCACAGUGUUUUGAAAAUACAUCAUUAAUGCUUAUGAAAAUGAUUACAUCCAAAAAGGUAGGAUUCCCUCUGUGGAAAGGACACUUGUGUGUGAUGUCCUUAAAAGACAGCCCAUGUUUAUAAAGUUAGGACGCUUCUUUCAUUGUAUUGAAUCAGUUAGGUAUCAGUAAUACUGGCAGAUGUUGGAAAGCCUGGCAAAUAGGAGUUGCAAUUAAAGUUGGCAUGGCCUCUCUCUGAUUAAUUUUAGUUUAUUUUGGAUGAACCCAAAGCUGCUUUUGCAUGCAGUGCAGGAGAUUACCCAAGAGCUCAGUUACUGAGUAGAUUAAAGAGAGACUCGAUUUGGUCAUUCUGUCAAAUUGCAGGCUGGCUUCACUCAGCCUCCAAAGCAGAAAAUGGAUUUGAGUUGGAAACAGGGAAAACCUGAACUCUUUGCAGGCUUAUCUCAUUUUAAGUGAGGCCAGCAUCCACUCUAAGCUAAUAGUGUGUAUGAACUGAUUUGAAGGGUGAAAGGACUCAGUGUGGAUUACUUAAAAUAAUGCUUUCUUUCUCCUCCUACAUUAUUUAAUAUUUACUUCC